AAUUGCUCUAACAAUGCAAAUAUUGAUGGCUCAGUCAAUCAUUUUAAAUAUUCUAAUAAUGCUACAAGUAUCGACACUUGUUUCAGAUAAUUAUUUGUGCUUGGGUAUUUAUUCAUGGUUUUACAUACUGAUCGAUGUACUUCCCGAGUAAAGGUAAAUGUCGGCUCUGGCGACAUACGAAGAUUUGGACGGUGCGUGUGCACAUGUGGCUUUGUGAGGGCUUAUCGUGCAGUGAAAUUAUUUGGCGCCGACCGUAAAGGCGGCGGAGCGGAUUACGGUAUGUAUAUCCAGUGCACACACACGAGCGUCAUCGGAGCAAUGUCUGGAAACCGCGUCCGUGUUUGAGAGUCGAACGUGUCCAUCUACAGAGCGCUCUUAUCGAAUGGAGUCGUGCGAGGGUGUGUAGUCGUUGGUGUGCCUGUUGAACGUCGUUCUCUUUUACGCAUUUGCUGAUUUCUCGUGACACAGCGAUAUCGCUUUGUGCUGCUGGCAAGCAGUAACCUUCCAACCUGCCUGUAAGAGUCAAGAACACGUUGAGUUGACGGUUUGUCAGGCUGUUGGUGAUGGUCAAAAUAAGGACAACUUCCAUUUGACUAAUCACGCUAAACGACAGUGUGUAAGUGGCGGCCUAGUGGCUGAUAGGGUGAAGUGGCCUCCGGCACAGUGGAACAGGAUACAACGAGUGACAGGACCCGGUUAAUCACAGGGACUUCAUUACCAUGGAUUCGCGGGGACGCAAAGUAAUCGUGUGUGACAACGGAACCGGUUUUGUUAAAUGCGGAUACGCAGGAUCGAAUUUUCCUGCGUUUACUUUUCCGAGCCUUGUUGGUCGGCCAAUUUUGCGUGCGUCGACAAAAGUUGGCGAAAUGGAGGUUCGUCUUUUAAAGAAUAAUCACAGCGAUAUUAAUCGUAAUGACGAUUUGGAAAAAUCAACUAUGAAAUCUAAGUAGCUAGUUAAAUGAGUGUAAAAAAAACUAUCAGCAUUGAGUUUGCUAUCCGUAUGAGGUAGUGUAGUCGAGAAUAGUCGUUCCUUUUUUUUUGGAUAAAUUUCUGUGUUUAUACUCGUCCUUAAGGAAACGCAUAGCCUAGAGCUAAUGUUAAAUUUCAAUUCCACAAACAAAAUUAUUCUUCGCGUAUACGGAGUGCUGUAGGCUUGGAUGCAAAUCUGCGUUAAUAUUAUCAAUGGUUAUGUUGGAUUAAGUAUAAACGAAGAUUAGAUAAUACAACAGUUAUCCUUUACUUUUUACACUGCAACGUUUGUCGCCGUAAAUGAGCAGUUCCGUAAAAAGCUUAUGCAUGUAAGCAUUUGAGCACAUGUGAACUUGACUUGGAGCGAAUAUAACGUACGCGGAUGGAGGCGGCGAUCCAAUCUGACGGUAGGGCACCGUAAAACUGGACACGCUGUCAACGUUUUGUAGCACGAUGCUCGCAUGGUUCCGUUUCUCUAAGUCGGUGGGGAAACUGCUCUAAAGAAGAACUUAGACAGAAUCGAAUCCCCACAGAACGGCGAAUAUUGUUUAUUGAUAUACCUUGUUAUUGAGCAGUAUAACUAGCGUGUCGUAUUAUUCUUUGCUCGCAUCGCUGACUCAUCCAGCUGUUGUGGCACGCGUAAAUGGAAAACCUGAAUAGGCCAUAGCCAAGAAAAAACGUCUUAUUAUUUUUAGUAUCUCCAAAGUUAAGUCAACACUUCUUACAAAUAAAAUUGAAUAAAAAAUAUUCUAUGGUAUUUGUGAACAUUAGUACUAUUAUUCUUAUUCGUUACCCCUCACAGAAAAUAUUACUGCAUUUAAUUCUAUUCCAUUCAAUAUAUUUUGACCUAAAUGUACUUUGCUUUACAAUAGUUUAUAAUAAUAAUAAUGAGGAUACUAUUGUAAUCCUAUAAAAAAAACAGGUUCAAAAAUGGAUUAUUAAAGUGCAGGACGUUCAAAACCCGAACUUUCAUAAUACGAUAACGUAUUCCAUGGACACUUUUGAAAAAGGCUUUUUGAAAAAUGUUUGAUGUAGACA